rnacentral:rRNA from 1 species
UCACUUGCUUGUCCUGAGAUAAGCCAUGCAUGUCUAAGUACAUACUAUAUUAAAGUGAAACCGCGAAAGGCUCAUUAAAUCAGUUAUGGUUCCUUAGAUCGUUCCACACAUAUACUUGGAUAACUGUGGUAAUUCUAGAGCUAAUACAUGCAAACAGAGCUCUGACCGGAGACGGAAGGAGUGCUUUUAUUAGAUCAAAACCAAUCGGCGGCGGAUCAUUACAUAUUUCGUUACGUUUUUAACGUGCGUUUUAUUGUUAAUGAUUUUCGUUUGUCGUAUUUUUAUAUAUAUGAUGAAUCUGAAUAACUUUAUGCUGAUCGCAUGGUCUUGUACCGGCGACGCAUCUUUCAAAUGUCUGCCUUAUCAACUGUCGAUGGUAGGAUCUGCGCCUACCAUGGUUGUAACGGGUAACGGGGAAUCAGGGUUCGAUUCCGGAGAGGAGCCUGAGAAACGGCUACCACAUCCAAGGAAGGCAGCAGGCGCGCAAAUUACCCACUCCCGGCACGGGGAGGUAGUGACGAAAAAUAACGAUACGGGACUCAUCCGAGGCCCCGUAAUCGGAAUGAGUACACUUUAAAUCCUUUAACGAGGAUCAAUUGGAGGGCAAGUCUGGUGCCAGCAGCCGCGGUAAUUCCAGCUCCAAUAGCGUAUAUUAAAGUUGUUGCGGUUAAAAAGCUCGUAGUUGAAUUUGUGUCCCACACUGUUGGUUCACCGCCCGCGGUGUUAACUGGCAUGUUUUGUGGGACGUCCUGCUGGUGGAUGUUGGUUUGUGGUUCUAUAUUUUUUAAAUUUUGGUGUUAUUCCUAACUUCCUGUGGUAAAUUGUGUAUUUUGUUAUUAUAUGUUUUAAUAUAUAUAAGUUAGGGAUUUAUCCCGCUUGUAUAUAUAUUUCUAUUUUGCAUAUAUACAUUAUCACUAGUUAGUGAAUACCCAUAUUUUUGUAUAUUAUCCACCCCAUCCGUAUAUUUUUUAUUUAUAAUAAUAAUCCUGUCGCGGUGCUCUUAAUUGAGUGUCGAGGCGGGCCAGCACGUUUACUUUGAACAAAUUAGAGUGCUUAAAGCAGGCUAAUAUAUGCCUGAAUAAUUAGUGCAUGGAAUAAUGGAACAGGACCUCGGUUCUAUUUUGUUGGUUUUUCGGAACCCCGAGGUAAUGAUUAAUAGGGACAGAUGGGGGCAUUCGUAUUGCGACGUUAGAGGUGAAAUUCUUGGAUCGUCGCAAGACGGACUAAAGCGAAAGCAUUUGCCAAAGAUGUUUUCAUUAAUCAAGAACGAAAGUCAGAGGUUCGAAGGCGAUCAGAUACCGCCCUAGUUCUGACCAUAAACGAUGCCAGCUAGCGAUCCGCCAAAGUUCCUCCGAUGACUUGGCGGGCAGCUUCCGGGAAACCAAAGCUUUUGGGUUCCGGGGGAAGUAUGGUUGCAAAGCUGAAACUUAAAGGAAUUGACGGAAGGGCACCACCAGGAGUGGAGCCUGCGGCUUAAUUUGACUCAACACGGGAAACCUCACCAGGCCCAGACACUGGAAGGAUUGACAGAUUGAGAGCUCUUUCUUGAUUCAGUGGGUGGUGGUGCAUGGCCGUUCUUAGUUGGUGGAGCGAUUUGUCUGGUUAAUUCCGAUAACGAACGAGACUCUAGCCUAUUAAAUAGACGUUACACACUUACCGGUAUCUUGAAGGCUCACAUCUUUUGUUUCCUUUUUCCACUUUACAUGUAUAUGCAUGCAUCGAUAGUAGGACUACAUGCACACAUAUAUAUAUAUAUUAUUUGUUGUGUGUUUACACACUCAUAUAUUUGUGUAUUGUGUUGUAUGUAUAAUCUAUUUUUGUAUUGUGUAUAUUAUGUGAGUGGGGGGCAAAAGUUUGUGGUUUUUACUACCGGCGUACAUAUAAAUCUUCUUAGAGGGACAGGCGGCUUCUAGCCGCACGAGAUUGAGCAAUAACAGGUCUGUGAUGCCCUUAGAUGUUCUGGGCCGCACGCGCGCUACACUGAAGGAAUCAGCGUGUUUUCUCCUAGGCCGAAAGGUCCGGGUAACCCGUUGAACCUCCUUCGUGCUAGGGAUUGGGGCUUGCAAUUAUUCCCCAUGAACGAGGAAUUCCCAGUAAGCGCGAGUCAUAAGCUCGCGUUGAUUACGUCCCUGCCCUUUGUACACACCGCCCGUCGCUACUACCGAUUGAAUGAUUUAGUGAGGUCUUCAGACUGGUACGCGGUGAUGUUGCGUACAUUACCGAUGUCGCUGGGAAGAUGACCAAACUUGAUUAUUUAGAGGAAGUAA